rnacentral:rRNA from 1 species
UACGAAGGGGGCAAGCGUUGUUCGGAAUUACUGGGCGUAAAGCGCGCGCAGGUGGUCUUUCAAGUCAGUGGUGAAAGCCCGGAGCUCAACUCCGGAAAUGCCAUUGAAACUGUAAGACUUGAGGAUGAGAGAGGUGAGUGGAAUUCCCAGUGUAGAGGUGAAAUUCGUAGAUAUUGGGAAGAACACCGGUGGCUAAGGCGGCUCACUGGCUCGUAUCUGACGCUCAGGCGCGACAGCGUGGGGAGCAAACAGG